rnacentral:rRNA from 1 species
UACAGAGGUCUCAAGUGUUGUUCGGAUUCAUUGGGCGUAAAGGGUGUGUAGGUGGCGCCGUAAGUCGGGUGUGAAAUUUCGGAGCUUAACUCCGAAACUGCAUUCGAUACUGCGGUGCUUGAGGACUGGAGAGGAGACUGGAAUUCAUGGUGUAGCAGUGAAAUGCGUAGAGAUCAUGAGGAAGACCAGUGGCGAAGGCGGGUCUCUGGACAGUUCCUGACACUGAGACACGAAGGCCAGGGGAGCAAACGGG